rnacentral:lncRNA from 1 species
UGGAAAGUAUGGUCAGAAUUCCAAUUUGGAAUUCCAAAUAUCUCCUUGGAAAUGGUGUUAAUUUUUCCUCUGAUAUCAUAGCCUCUUCCCACCACUGGCUGGAGCUUCCUCGGAUCCAAGGUGCAUUCUGAUACUUGGUACCAGCCAAAGGAACCAGAUUUGGGUCUCUAAUGAAGCAGUGAGCUCAGAAAGAAAGUACCUUUACAAAUGACCUUGAUAAUUAUGUGAGAAGUUCAUUAGACAGAGAGACACCCAUACUUUACCAGGAGUAUUUCUUCAUUCAGUUUAUUGUUGUUGUUCUUUUGUGAUCCCUGGACAUCAAAAUAUUCAAACGAUACCACCUGAGAUUAGAUAAGCUGACUGUGUAAAUAUGUAAGGAACAUAAACAGCUAACUGUCUUUGCUGAAAACUAUUUUUCUUCAAAUCAGGGACGCACCAAACCAUUCUUGCCAUCACAAUACAAUCAAAUGAUAAAUCGUUUAAGAUGUCCGAUUUGAGAUAUAGUUUUCUAAAGCUGUGGGUUUAAAAAAAAAAAACCACCUAGAUUCUGGUAUUAUAAUUACCAUUGAGGAAGGGUUCAGCCACCUGGAGAAGACAAAAACUUAGAGCAGAGUGUCCAAACAAGGACCACUCAUGGAACGUCAAGUUGGCUGUUGGCUGCUCUUCCACAGUCCCCUGGAAUGGGGCAGAUGGAGGUGGCACCAGUGAGAGAAGAUGCGUGCUGUGCAAGGACAUGAAAUGCCAUAUUAGAGCAAAAUAACUAGUAACAAGACAGAUAAAGGAACCCUUCAAGUGACAUCUAUUUACUGAAACGAGCCACACACUAAGUCCAAAUACACAUAUAAAGAAGUCUGAGAAUCCUGGAGAGAGUUCAUGUGAAAAUUGUUGAUUUGUUUGAUGGUAUGAUGAGGGAAUGAAAUAUGAUUCCCUAUGUGGACAAGCAGAGAUUCUUUGAGUAUCAUCUAAUCAAAAGACACUGCAAUGUAGGAGUCUCAUGUGAUAUCCAUGUUAGAGUACUAUUUUAUCUCUGAACAACUCCAGUGAUGGUGAAUCUACUUGAUAAUCCAGUCCUUUUAAGGAAAGUUGUCAUUUUUAUAAACUCCUUUAAGUAUUAUAAAUAUUAAAGUAUAAUUGUG